rnacentral:rRNA from 1 species
UACGUAGGGUGCGAGCGUUAAUCGGAAUUACCGGGCGUAAAGUGUGCGCAGGCGGCCGCGCAAGUCGAGUGUGAAAUCCCCGAGCUUAACUUGGGAAUUGCGCUCGAAACUACGUGGCUGGAGUGUGGCAGAGGAAGGUGGAAUUCCACGUGUAGCGGUGAAAUGCGUAGAGAUGUGGAGGAACACCGAUGGCGAAGGCAGCCUUCUGGGCCAACACUGACGCUCAUGCACGAAAGCGUGGGGAGCAAACAGG